UUUAUUUGUAUUAGACGCAAUAAAAAGAUUAAAUUAGUAAAAUAUUUAUAACGUCAAAUUAAAGAGCGCUUAUAUACAUAUUUAUAUGUGUAUUACACAUUGAGUGUGUGUAUGCCAAUCCAAUUCAGGUUGAUAUCUCGUUAACUUGACGAGCGAAUGUUUGCUCAAUACUAAAUUUAUUGUUUCAAAUGCAUGUACACACAUACACACGAUGUAUGUUAUGUGUACGUACAUAUGCAUUCUUAUGUAAACAAUUUUAAGUUGUAAAUCGCAAUUUCGUUUGUUAUGUGUUAAUAACAAGUAAUUUCGAACUUACUGAUAACUUUCACGGAAGUAAUAUGUCAGUGGUUAUUAUUUGAUGCGACUGUAGGGAUAAUGUCGAUAUAGUUUCAAUGAUAUUAAGUCAAGUAUAAAUGAGCGUUAAUUUGAAAACUUAAGAAGGAGUAAAGUUUAAAAUUUUUUUCCAUAUUUAUAUAUAUAUAUAUAUAUAUAUAUGUCAAAUCCAAAUUCCUUUUCCUCCAACUCCCACUUUCAGAGUCGGCAGCCCUCAAAACUUCAGAUCCUUUUGAAAUUUUGUACGCAAAAAAAAAGUUUUUAUACAUUUGCCAAAUUUCAUAUCAUAGAGCACUUAUUUGAGCAAAUGCUAUAUUCGAAAGCGAGCAUUUGCUUGGAUUUGUGUGAAUAAAAAGCUUAAAUCCAAACACCAAUAAAAAUGAAUUUUGAAAUAAUACUGCCGCUGAUGGUUGAAAACGAAGCUCCAGAGAUAAAGGAUUACAAAUUAACAACAGUUGGAGGCGAUACAAAUUUUAAGCACUUAUGUGUACGAUUUACCCGUCAAAAUGUGGAUUUUUUGCCUGCAUAUUCGGAAGGAGUAUAUUUUACGCUAUAUAGACGAUUCAGGUCGUCAGUAUACUUAAAGGUACAAAUGUUAAGGUUGGUAUAUGUAAAGAUAUCGGAAUACAUCAAACUACCGUUUGCGUAAACAAUUAGUGAGUGUGCCACAAACUAGUCGAGAAAGCGGCGGAAUGGAUUAUUUUGCCUUCUGAUCAAUAAGAAAUGGAAUACCCAAAAAACUGUGAUAAAAGCAUUUCACAUUUCCCUGUGUAAUUGAUGCAAUUGCUGCACUCAUAUUUUAAUUAAAAAGCGUAAAUGGAGAAAUUGAAAUAUUCAAGCUAUUGCUUUCCUUUAACACCAAUGCUGGUGAUAUCGUUUAAUCGACAGUUUGUGUGGUAAAUUAAAACAAAGGUUCCCGAUUUUGCAGUAAAAAUUCACGUGGCCAUGGAGAGAAUUCCAUCUAGAAUUGUUGUUUGUAAUUCAUAACAUUGUUAACUUAUUGAAAGAUGCAGAUUUUGAGCCGUUAGGUGAAAUUAAAGAGUUUAGAGUGCCCGAAAUAGAUAUGACCAAUAAUUCAAAUUAUAAACGUGAGCAAAAACGAAGAAGAUAUAUUGCUAACUAUUUAUUUGCACAGUAUAUCCAAAUAAAAAACUUUGUAUUUUGUAUCCAAUAAAAUUAUCGUUUAUUGCAUGAAAGGAAGAAACUGUUAUUAAUUUUUACCCAAAUUUUAUUUUCAUUAUUGAACGAUAACAAUUUGAACUAUAUUUUAUAAACCGCAUUUUUCUGUAAUGCUCUACUUGUAGGCGUUGCUCUUGUGCAGAAAGCAUUCUCUUCUGCACAUUUAAAAGUUCUUUUUGAUUUUGUAAAAAAAAAUCUAUUAAUUUGAUUAUGAAAAUUAAUACAUUUUAAAUGUUUUGCCGUUUUUGUUUUAACGUGUUUUGUUGAUACGUUCUCUGAUAAAAUGCUGGUGUUAACAACAGAUGAAUUUUCGGAAUAUUUUGGUUGAGAAACAUUUAUUUCAAAACAACCUUCGAUAACAUUUUAAAAGUGAAUAUCUUCAAUAAGUUUAAGAAAAUGUAAUCAUGAUUUCUAUGCUUUCAUUUUAAUGUUGUAAUGCUUGGGUUAUGUUUAGCAUGUAGUAAAUCAAUAAAUAGAUUCUCAGAAUUCAUUAAGGCGGUCAUCAAAAAAUAGAUCAUUUUUAAUUAAUUGCUUUCUUAAUUUGAAAUCGUUUUAUAGAUCCAGCAGUUAAAAAAAGUAGUUGUUCGGCUGUUGUUUAAGCGAACUUGUAACUUUAAAAGUGUUUUUCUCAAAAACUUUUUUUUCAAUCUUUCUUUCAUAAAAUAUCAAAAACGGUUUGACCGAAUGACUUGAAAUUUAUAAGGAACACUCAGCACCGCAAGCAAUGAUCCAUCAAAAAUAUACGAAAUUUUUGUAGCAAAAAACAAAAAAGAACGUAAAAUACGAAACUUGUUUUCAAUGUCCACCAAAAGUCCUCUUUUGGAUAUAUUCAUUUGAUAAUAGUCCAUCCCGUGUAUUUAGACUUACAGAUUUAAACGCUGCUAUUCUUUUUUUUGUUUCGGAUAGUAAGGAAGAAGUGUGAAAUUCUCAGGAAGACCACGCAAACCAGAAGUUGAAAUCAGGAUGAAGUCCACAUGUUUUAUAACACAAAAACGGUGAUCGAGAUAGAUACACACGCGUGCAUAUCUGGAUACGGUUCAGUGUUGCUUCAAAAGAAUCGUGUCGAGCAAGUGACCAUCACGUUCAAUGCAUAAUAAGUGCCUUAUAGCAUUUGGUUUUUGUUCGUGGAGAGAUAACUUUACUUCUCAAUUGCCUACUCAGUCCAAAGUAGCACCUGUUGGCAAGAGUUAUUCUUUGCUGUAUUGUAAGGCUGACAUUGUAGCUGGUGUUGAUGCUGGUUCCAAGAUAGUCAAAACUAUCCACAACUUCAAAGUUAUAACUGUCAACAGUGACGUGAGAGCCAAACCGCAAGUGCAAUGACUGUUUGUUUGAUGACAGGAGAUAUUUCGUCUUGCCCUCGUCCACUGCCAGCCCCAUUUGCUUUGCUUCCUUGUCCAGUCUGGAGAAAGCAGAACUAACGGCGCGGGUGCUGAGGCCGAUGAUAUCAAUAUCAUCGGCAACCGCCUCCAGCUGUACAAUCUUAUCGAAGAUUGCAUCUGCUCGAUUAAGUUCUGCGGCUUGAAUUUUUUUCUCCAGCAGCAGGUUGAAGAUGUCGCACAAUAGGCUCGGAGAGGUCCUUCCCGAUGCUGAUGGAACUUUUAGUAUUGCUCAACGUUAGUUUACACAGGAUCUACUCGUAUUUCAGUUUCAUUAAACAUUUCCUCAAAUGUUUUAUCUUUCAUUAGUUUUCUUAUUUGCGGACCUUUCAAAUAUUCCCUCUUCAAUUUUUAUUUCACUGACUCUUGGAAAUUUUUGUCUUAGACACCCAAGAACUCUCUUCCAUUUCUGUCUAUUGCCUUAACAAAAUUCUUCAUUAAACCCAAUUUAAUACCUUUUUGGGAUCAACUAGAAAUUCACUGGUAACAUUUUUUGUCCCGGAGUGAGUGCCUGACAUACUGGCUACUGCUUCUGUACAUAAACCUGACAGUCUCUCGCACGGCUGUCCCAUUCGCAAAGGAAGCAACAAUAUUUCGUAUAUCCCAGAUGCAUUCCAAGAAGAAGGGCUAUUACUUUUAAGUCUCCACAUAUUUCCCAACCAUACUCAUGAUAACGGAUGUGCUCUAAAAGAACUCUCAUAUUCUCAUAUGAACCGCAUGAGCUAAGGGCAGAGAUGGAUAUUUGUUUCCGUUAUGAACCAAUAUAGUAUAGUAUAUAAAGUAUAGGUUGUCAUUUCCUUUGCGGCUUCUGUAACAUCACUUGAAGAGCUAGUCGAUUCUAGUUCUUUAUCGAUACCCCAAGAUUCUGGGGCUUUUGAAAUAGGAAGUAGUUAACUUUGUUUUACAGAUCUUAAAACUGAUGGUAAAUUAUAUUACUUAACGUAUGUCUAGACUUCGGUCCAAUAACUUUAAUAUUCGUGAGGCAAAAAUAGCAGUCUGUAACAUGGUAUUUAGGUUCUCAUCAAACCUUUGGCACUGCAAAGGGCAUUUUACGACUUGAACCUUUUAACGAAGCUGUUAACAAUAUUACAAAAGUUUUACAACAGAUAUGAGAGGCCCAUGUUUUUAUCUUGGUCCCCAACUUUAACACCAAAAUACAAUUGGUAAGCUUUUGGCGCAAGCGGAGUAAAAUUACGUUUUUGUGAUUUAAAAGUUAGUUCUCCGCAAUCAUAACAAAACUGUUGCACUAUUUAGGCACUGCCUAGGCAUUGUACCUAAAAAUCUUAAACACAGUAGUUUCAAAAACGUAAAAGAAUGUGAACUCAAAAACGUUUUGCUAUCCAGACAUAGAACACGUAACCGAUUCGGACACCUUUAGUCUACUGAAAAAUUUUGUAAACUAAAAUGAUCGUAAAAUACGAUGUUUACUUUAAACAAGCAUGCAGAACCGGUCUAAACCGGAUAAAUCCCUGAUCGUAUGAAAAUAUAAAAUGAUGCAAUAUAUUUAAAUUUUAUGUAUUGUAAAAUCUAAAGCCGCAGGUUACUCGAACCUGUUAACAAUGUUACACAAGUUUUACAACAGAUAUGAGGGGCCCACGAAAACUCGGAAUCGUUAUUAGAAAUAAAAAGCCAAAAUCUCAAAAAUUUUUGGACUCGCCUCCAAGCGGCUCAUGACGCCAUAGUAGAUUCUGACAAUUCAGAUCUACCACAAAAUUUUAAAUCAUCAUUUUUGAAAACUGCUUAGACCAAUAUGAGGAAACAUGAUCUCCGAUCAAUUAAAGCUAAUUAAAGCAACUGCACCUACUCCCUACAGUAGAGUAGAGCUGCCACAAAUAGACAGUCAAGAGGCAAGUUCAGGCAUCCACCUCGAGGUGCCCGCAUGUGACACAGAAACAUUUUACGGAGGUUAUGAAGAAUGGCCGUCCUUCCGGGACAUGUUCACGGCCGUGUACAUAAACCAUCCCCAAUUAUCACAAUCGCAAAAAUUGUAUCACCUCAGAUACAAAACGAAAGGUCAGGCAGGCGUAAUAGUCAAACAGUUCGCUCUCAAUGACGAAAAUUUUAAUUUUGCUUGGGAAGCUCUAAAAGCACGUUACGAAAACAAAAGAAUAUUGGUCGACAAGCAAGUAACGACACUAUUAAACUUGCCUAAAAUCAAGAAAGAAACAAGUGAAGAAUUUGUAAGACUACAAUCCACUGUUUCUAAUUGUUUGUCGAUUCUGUCGAUACAAAAUAUUCCCACAGACAGCUGGGACCCAAUUCUGGUAAACAUUUGCACCGCCGCAUUACCAGAAAACUCGUUACUUCUAUGGGAGCAAUCGCUCUCAUCACGAAAAAAGUGCCCAACGUGGCAACAAAUGAAAGAUUUUCUCACCACCCAAUAUGAAAUUGCGGAAAGGUUAGGAGAAAAAAUAAUAAAAAAAAAGAACAUUAAACACGACCAAAAAUGGAGGCUUAAAUAGACCAAGCUAGAAGCAACAAAAAUUUAAACAAAAGCUUUUACAAAUUACAAACGUUCACAUCAGAACAAAGAAAACAUACGUCAUGCGAACUAUGUACAGGAGAGCAUAAACUCAAAACUUGCGCCAGGUUUAAAAACUUGAAAGUAAACGAACGGAAUAAAUUUGUCAGGUCAAAGAGACUUUGCACAAAUUGUCUGUCACAUGCGCAUAGAUAUACAAAUUGCAAAAGUAAAUUUAAUUGCUUACAUUGUCACAAAAGACACCAUUUGCUGUUUCACUACAGCACAUUUCCUAGCUCACCUCAAAAGAGCGCAUGCAAUAGCACAAAAAGAACUACAGACUUAGUUGCAAAAGCAAAUCCCGAAAAUUGCCAAGAAGCACCAUGCUGCUCAAAGGCAUUAAAAACGCAAACGCUACACAGCGGAAAUAAAAACAGGGUACUACUACCCACAGCAGUUGUCUCCAUCGAACACCGAGGAGAACUGUUCAAACUCAGAGCCUUAAUAGACCAAGGAUCACAACGAUCAUUCAUAGCGUCUAAGGCACAAAAUAAACUAAAAUUGUCAACCAAACAAUCAAAUUUUGAAAUUACGGGAAUGGGCGGCAGAGUAAUCCAAAACUCGGAUAAAAUCUGUCCCAUUGCCCUAAUUUCCCCCCAAGCGGAUAAGCGAAUUAAAGCAGAAGCAGGAAAAAAGGACAGAUUUUUAUAUAUAAGUAAAAUGUAGGGAUUUUUUGACAAAGCAAAAUCGAAAUUUCUAUGUAAUUUUUUUUCGGUCAAAAUGCAAAUAAGUCUAUUUGGCAACUUUUUAUCAAGAAUAUGUUCGAAUGCCAGCAUUAAAUCGGUUUCAACUUCACGUUGUCAAAGGCAGCACUCUGAAAAAGUAUUUGUAUGGCAGCAUGCUGGCGUCGCAUAUAAUUCGUUUGCUCUUCGCUUUUAAUUUGAUUGCUGACUUUAUGUGAGAAAUGAGUUCUUCAACAGAAUCGGACGAGAGUAUUGGAAAGAGCCGCAAAUAUCGCAAACAAAAGUUUACAAAUAAGUGGCUAGGAGACGAAAGAUUCAAGGGUUGGUUACAAGCUUUGGCCGGUGAGUCGUUUAAAUGCAAAUGCGCUGCCUGCAACAAAAUUUUAAAUUGCGGCAAGUCUGAUUUAUUGAAACGCGCAGAAACAAAAGCACACCAGAAAAUUGUGAAAGCCAUAAGCAAAACGAGCAAAUUGAAUACUUUUUUUAAGAGAAACGUAAAUGCAGAAGGGGAUGUAGAUAAAAAAAAUCGCAUCUAAAAAAAAUGACAGCGUCUGAACUCUACGAACAUCAUUAAUAUUUUUUUUUGCACUGUGGUUACAUCAUGCUUAAAGUAUAUGUUUACGUGUUUUUUGUUUGUUUAGUUUUUUUAAACCAAAUAAAUUAAUGUCGCCUUAGUUAACCAUCCAUUUGAUUGCUAGUCUAAUUUAAAACAUGAAAUGUAUUUAAAUUAAAUAAAUUUUUUUCUUUAUUUAUUUGUAUGUAUAUAUAUAUAUAUAUAAAUUUAUGUGUACACAUACAAGGCAAUGGUGCACAUAUUAUAUUUUUAUGUAUUAUACAUAUUUAAUAUUAUAAUAAAUGUC